UGGUUCUGGCAUNGAUGAAGAACGCAGCGAAAUGCGAUAAGUAAUGUGGAUUGCAGAAUUCAGUGAAUCAUCGAAUCUUUGAACGCACAUUGCGCCCCUCGGUACUCCGAGGGGCAUGCCUGUCCGAGCGUCAUUGAAAACUAUCAAGCCUGGCUUGGUCUUGAGCGCGGUCUUGGGACCCGCCCGCAACCCGUCGGCGGUGCCUGUUAGGCCCUGAGCGUAGCAAGAUACUCGCUUCAUGGGACCUAGCGGUGCCUGCCAGCAGUCUACCCCCCAUAGUUUGACCUCGGAUCAGGUAGGGAUACCCGCUGA
rnacentral:misc_RNA from 1 species